rnacentral:misc_RNA from 1 species
UUAUGGUUUCGCUGAUAUUAAAAUUGGAUUUUAUAGUGGCGAUCAUGGAGAUGGAGAACCGUUCGAUGGGAUUUUAGGAGUGCUAGCACACUCAUUUUCGCCAGAGAGCGGCAAGUUUCAUCUUGAUGCUGCGGAAACGUGGGCCGUUGAACUCGGAAUGGAGAAAUCAGAGGUUGCAGUAGACUUGGAAUCAGUGGCUAUACAUGAGAUUGGACACUUGUUAG